UGGUGAUGAUUAUAUGUGAUAAGCUCUCA
rnacentral:piRNA from 1 species